rnacentral:rRNA from 1 species
GUCAAGCAAUUAAGCGUACGUGGUGGAUGCCUUGGCAGCUAGAGGCGAUGAAGGACGUGGUAGGCCACGAAAGGCUUCGGGGAGCAGUCAAACAUGCUUUGAUCCGGAGGUGUCCGAAUGGGGAAACCCACCCGAUUUAUCGGGUAUCGCUAACUGAAUACAUAGGUUAGCGAGGCGAACGCGGAGAACUGAAACAUCUAAGUACCCGCAGGAAAAGAAAUCAACCGAGAUUCCCAAAGUAGCGGCGAGCGAAAUGGGAUUAGCCCUUAAGUUACAGUGGAUUUAGCAGAACGCUCUGGAAAGUGCGGCAAUAGAGGGUGAUAGCCCCGUAUGCGAAAGGUCCAUUGUAGUGAAAUCGAGUAGGUCGGGACACGUGAAAUCCUGACUGAACAUGGGGGGACCAUCCUCCAAGGCUAAAUACUCCUAGCUGACCGAUAGUGAACUAGUACCGUGAGGGAAAGGCGAAAAGAACCCCGGGAGGGGAGUGAAAUAGAUCCUGAAACCGUGUGC